GGAUGAACGCUAGCGGCAGGCUUAACACAUGCAAGUCGAGGGGUAACAUUGUAGCUUGCUACAGAUGACGACCGGCGCACGGGUGCGUAACGCGUAUAGAACCUACCUUUUACAGAGGGAUAGCCUUUAGAAAUGAAGAUUAAUACCUUAUAGUAUUGAGACUUGGCAUCAAGUUUUAAUUAAAGAUUUAUCGGUAAAAGAUGGCUAUGCGUCCUAUUAGUUAGUUGGUAAGGUAACGGCUUACCAAGACAUCGAUAGGUAGGGGUCCUGAGAGGGAGAUCCCCCACACUGGUACUGAGACACGGACCAGACUCCUACGGGAGGCAGCAGUGAGGAAUAUUGGACAAUGGAGGCAACUCUGAUCCAGCCAUGCCGCGUGUAGGAAGAAUGCCCUAUGGGUUGUAAACUACUUUUAUACAGGAAGAAACACUGGUAUGUAUACCAGCUUGACGGUACUGUAAGAAUAAGGACCGGCUAACUCCGUGCCAGCAGCCGCGGUAAUACGGAGGGUCCGAGCGUUAUCCGGAAUCAUUGGGUUUAAAGGGUCCGCAGGCGGUCUAUUAAGUCAGAGGUGAAAUCCCAUAGCUCAACUAUGGAACUGCCUUUGAUACUGGUUGACUUGAGUCAUAUGGAAGUGGAUAGAAUGUGUAGUGUAGCGGUGAAAUGCAUAGAUAUUACACAGAAUACCGAUUGCGAAGGCAGUCCACUACGUAUGUACUGACGCUGAGGGACGAAAAGCGUGGGGAGCGAACAGGAUUAGAUACCCUGGUAGUCCACGCCGUAAACGAUGGAUACUAGUUGUUGGGAUUUAUCUCAGUGACUAAGCGAAAGUGAUAAGUAUCCCACCUGGGGAGUACGGUCGCAAGACUGAAACUCAAAGGAAUUGACGGGGGCCCGCACAAGCGGUGGAGCAUGUGGUUUAAUUCGAUGAUACGCGAGGAACCUUACCAGGGCUUAAAUGUAGUCUGACAGCUUUAGAGAUAGAGUUUUCUUCGGACAGAUUACAAGGUGCUGCAUGGUUGUCGUCAGCUCGUGCCGUGAGGUGUCAGGUUAAGUCCUAUAACGAGCGCAACCCCUGUCGUUAGUUGCCAGCAUGUAAAGAUGGGGACUCUAACGAGACUGCCUACGCAAGUAGAGAGGAAGGUGGGGAUGACGUCAAAUCAUCACGGCCCUUACGUCCUGGGCCACACACGUGCUACAAUGGUAUGGACAAUGAGCAGCCAUCUGGCAACAGAGAGCGAAUCCUUAAACUCUAUCUCAGUUCGGAUCGAAGUCUGCAACUCGACUUCGUGAAGCUGGAAUCGCUAGUAAUCGCGCAUCAGCCAUGGCGCGGUGAAUACGUUCCCGGGCCUUGUACACACCGC
rnacentral:rRNA from 1 species